rnacentral:rRNA from 1 species
CGCGGCCUAUCAGCUUGUUGGUGGGGUAAUGGCCUACCAAGGCGACGACGGGUAGCCGGCCUGAGAGGGUGACCGGCCACACUGGGACUGAGAUACGGCCCAGACUCCUACGGGAGGCAGCAGUGGGGAAUAUUGCACAAUGGGCGCAAGCCUGAUGCAGCGACGCCGCGUGAGGGAUGACGGCCUUCGGGUUGUAAACCUCUUUCAGCACAGACGAAGCGCAAGUGACGGUAUGUGCAGAGGAAGGACCGGCCAACUACGUGCCAGCAGCCGCGGUAAUACGUAGGGUCCGAGCGUUGUCCGGAAUUACUGGGCGUAAAGAGCUCGUAGGUGGUUUGUCGCGUUGUUCGUGAAAACUCACAGCUUAACUGUGGGCGUGCGGGCGAUACGGGCAGACUUGAGUACUGCAGGGGAGACUGGAAUUCCUGGUGUAGCGGUGGAAUGCGCAGAUAUCAGGAGGAACACCGGUGGCGAAGGCGGGUCUCUGGGCAGUAACUGACGCUGAGGAGCGAAAGCGUGGGGAGCGAACAGGAUUAGAUACCCUGGUAGUCCACGCCGUAAACGGUGGGUACUAGGUGUGGGUUUCCUUCCUUGGGAUCCGUGCCGUAGCUAACGCAUUAAGUACCCCGCCUGGGGAGUACGG